UAGGGAAUCUUCGGCAAUGGACGGAAGUCUGACCAAGCAACGCCGCGUGAGUGAAGAAGGUUUUCGGAUCGUAAAGCUCUGUUGUAAGAGAAGAACGAGUGUGAGAGUGGAAAGUUCACACUGUGACGGUAUCUUACCAGAAAGGGACGGCUAACUACGUGCCAGCAGCCGCGGUAAUACGUAGGUCCCGAGCGUUGUCCGGAUUUAUUGGGCGUAAAGCGAGCGCAGGCGGUUAGAUAAGUCUGAAGUUAAAGGCUGUGGCUUAACCAUAGUACGCUUUGGAAACUGUUUAACUUGAGUGCAAGAGGGGAGAGUGGAAUUCCAUGUGUAGCGGUGAAAUGCGUAGAUAUAUGGAGGAACACCGGUGGCGAAAGCGGCUCUCUGGUCUGUAACUGACGCUGAGGCUCGAAAGCGUGGGGAGCGAACAGGAUUAGAUACCCUGGUAGUCCACGCCGUAAACGAUGAGUGCUAGGUGUUGGAUCCUUUCCGGGAUUCAGUGCCGCAGCUAACGCAUUAAGCACUCCGCCUGGGGAGUACGACCGCAAGGUUG
rnacentral:rRNA from 1 species